AAAGUGAAAACAACCCAAAUGUUCAUCACCUGAUGAAUGAAUAAGUUUCAGGAUAUCCACCAAUGGAAUAUUAUUCAGCAAUAAAAAGUUUUUUAAAAAAGAAAACACAUCAGUGGACGUGAAUGCAGGAUGUCUUAUGAAUGCUCACACAGAAGCUCUCAUUCCUGAGGAAUGCAGGGAAAAGCAGAAGAUGGAGUAGGAGUUGGCAUGGCCCAG
rnacentral:lncRNA from 10 species